rnacentral:rRNA from 1 species
CGACUAGUAACAUGGUGUAGACCCGAAACCGCAGUGAUCUAUCCAUGGUCAGGUUGAAGCGCAGGUAAAAAUGCGUGGAGGACCGAACCCGUGAGUGUUGAAAAACUUUGGGAUGAACCGUGGAUAGGGGUGAAAUGCCAAUCGAACGCGGAGAUAGCUGGUACUCCCCGAAAUAGCUUUAGGGCUAGCCUCAGGGAAGAUUAUAGACGGUAGAGCACUGAUCUG